CGGCGGCCGCGAGCAGGGACUUCCGGUACCGGCGGCACUUCCUCCAGAUUAGUGACGUCACAGAGACCAUCUGGGGAACACCGAACAUGGACGUCAGUGGCACGCAUCGACUCGGCUGGCCUCUUCACAGAAGUACUAUGGCAAAGAGCUGGGCUCUUUCAAGACCCUGGAACACGGCGUUCGAGGCACCGUGUACGCGGUCGACUCACGCACCCUCUACAUCCGCAACUUCAACUAUGACGGCCAGGGUCCCGACGCGUUUUUCUACGUGGGAUCGGGAAACCGGCCGUCCAACUCCGGGUACAAGGUGCCGGACGAGAAUGGCAGAACUGAGCCUCUGAAGGCUUACCGCAACAAGGACAUCACGCUGACGCUUCCGAACGGCGUCACCAUGGACAAGGUCCAGUGGGUGUCCGUCUGGUGCAAGGCCUACUCGGUGGAUUUCGGUAACAUCAUCCUCCCGCGACCGGUCACCGACUACCCGCGGCCGCAGAAGCUCGGCAGGAUGGUGACGCGCGAGCACGGCGUGGCCUCCGCGGACGUGGUCGCCGUCGACGCGCAGACGCUGCUCGUGCCGGACUUCACGUAUGACGGGGAAGGCCCAGGUGAGUGGGCCGGUCGCCACGGCCGCUCGCAGAAGGGCCGCCAGGCGGCGAGGUUUCUGACGUGGCGUCGUAACCUGCGCCGGCCGACGCGCCCUGUCCCGGCGCAGCGGCGUGUCAUAAGGCCGGGGCGGGCCGCGCCGUGACAGGGGACCGCUCGCCAGCCGGUCGUGCCGCGAUCUCAGCCGUCGGCCGCACUCGUCGACUGUCGGCGCCGACGGCUCACAUGGACAGCGGUGACAGCGUGGUGCCAUACAGCCUGUUAGCGAAGGCGCCAUGUUUUACGGUGCGGGGCGGAUACAGAGACUGCAGCGCUGGUUUGGGUGACGGCAUGCCACUGCUGUGAGACGCUCUUCUUGUUCUACAUCUCUGUACCUUCUCUUGAAUACAUUUAUUUUAUAUAAUCUACUGUAUUUUCCUUACUCACCUACCCUGAACUCAACAACUUUCUUCUGAAUGGCUGAAUCUGACUACUCUGAUUACAGACUCUGUUGAACUGACAAUCUCACCCCUUCACAUUUCUCAUCUCUUCACACGCAUGCACACUGUGGCUGACCCCACGACCCCGACCGGUGUCGGCUCGGCUGUCACGCCGGGAGCGGCGGACCCGCACGACGUCUGGGCGGGCGCCGCCGCCGACGGGGGUGCUCCUCGGCGCCCUUCAGACCGACGCACCAGUGGUAACACGACCGACGGACACCUUCAACUGUAGCACGCACUGCGAUCUAGAUCGGGGCCCGAUCUGGAGCAGAUCCGGCGACCUGCCGACGCCGCGACACACCGGACCGGCCCGCGUGGACGAUGAUUUACCGGUAACGUACGGGUGGCGUGACGCUAGAUAACCAUCGACAGAGCCGCAGUCACUGAUCUGAAUGUAGAGCGGCCGCCGACACAGGCGCCGUGGGAAGCCAGACGGCUGGCAGCGCAGGGCCUUGGCACAUUUCGGCCGAGCUGCAAUAGUUGGGAGACUGCUCCAGUUGUGACGUGACUCCGUAGCAACGGCCUUGUGCUAUUGAGUGAUUGCAUGAACGCGACGAUGUCGGCUGUGUUGGCAGCUUUUCAUGUAGGCAUUUUCGGCGGCAUGUCUUUUUACCAUUCGCUGGUCCCGUGACACCCAAACGUUGUUCUCAGACGCGCACUUCUGGGCGGGCACGGGCAACCCGUCCAACACGGGCUUCAUCGUGCCGGACGAGAACGGCAGCCAGCAGCCGCUCAAGAGCUACAAGCGCAAGACGGUGGUGCUCACCCUGCCCGGCGACAAGACGGUGUUUGACAUCGACUACCUGAGCAUCUGGUGCCGCCAGUACUCGGCCGACUUCGGCCACCUGUCCAUCGACCGGCGCGGCCUCAACGUGCCGCCCAGCCUCAAGAUGCUCGGAGUGCAGCCCCAGCGUGGAGGCCGCGGACCGGCUAUUGUUGGUGGUCUGGGCCGGCCCUACUCUGCCCCCGCUGCGCCUGCUCCCCGGCCUGUGACCCGCUACCAGCCCCAGUACGCUCCUGAGCCCCAGUACGCCCCUCAGCCCCAGUAUGCCCCGGAGCCUCAAUACGCCCCUCAGCCCCAAUAUGCCCCUCAGCCCCAGUACGUCCCCGAGCCCCAGUAUGCCCCUCAGCCGCCCCAGUAUGCUCCCGAGCCCCAAUAUGCUCCUCAGCCUCCUCAGUAUGCUCCUGAGCCUCAGUACGCUCCUGAGCCCCAGUAUGCCCCGGAGCCUCAAUACGCCCCUCAGCCCCAGUAUGCCCCUGAGCCCCAGUAUGCUCCUCAGCCCCAGUAUGCCCCUGAGCCCCAGUACGCGCCUUCGCCGGCGCCCGCCGCCAGCGGAUCGCCUUUUACGGCGUUCCCGUCGCGGUCUUCAAGCGCCAGCCGUCAGGCCAAGUCUCGGCCGUCGUCGGCCAGCUCUGGAAGCUACAGCAGCUUCUCACUGGGCGGAAGCAGCGGCGUCAGCUUCCGCUACAACUACGGCGGCGAGCGCAACUAAGCGCCGUGCCCGGGGUCGACGAAUGGUCGACAGUGGGCCAUCGUAGCCCAACAGUGCGCGCGCGGGGUGAACGCUUGUAAGACUGUGUGUGUGUCAGAUGGACCGGGGUGUGAGGAUGGGGAAAGAAGAGAGAGGGGAGGGGUGGGGCUGAUAGUCAACGACGAGCACUAGUGAAAUAAUGUACAUAUGACUGUGUGUUAUGCGCUCUUCUCUCGCUCUGUCUUCAUUAUUUAUUUUCAUAUUUAUGAUCAAUACUCUGCGCUAAAUACUCAAUAUAGGAUCUUGUGAUGAACGCUUAUCGAGCUCGUAUUGUCGACAUAAGUGACGACUAACUUAUUUAUAUCUGAUAGCAGUUUUCAUGCUAAGGGAUGUGAAAUAAACAUGAGCAGUGCUGA
rnacentral:misc_RNA from 1 species